rnacentral:rRNA from 1 species
AGGUGUGGUCUGAAUUGGUGACUGGCUGGUGCUGGUGCCGGGUUUGUUCUCGGUGUUGGUGUUGGUGUGGUUUGUUGUUUGAAAACUAUAUAGUGGACGCGAGCAUCUUCUGGGAACUGCACGGUUGUGUGGUUUCUUGAUUCUUCUUUUUCUUGAUUGUGUGUAAGUUGUUAAGGGCACACGGUGGAUGCCUUGGCAUCAGGAGCCGAUGAAGGACUUGUGAAUCUGCGAUAAGCCUCGGGGAGCCGAUAACUGGGCGUGGAUCCGAGGAUUUCCGAAUGGGGAAACCUCGCUCAUAGUUGUGGUGGGUGACCGCUGGUUGAAUGUAUAGGCCAGUUGGGGGGAACGCGGGGAAGUGAAACAUCUCAGUACCCGCAGGAA